CGGCGAGGGGUGGAAAAAUAAACCCGGGUUUAUUUUUCUGCCCCUUGGGAACCCACCCUUCGCCUUCACCUCCCACCCACACAGCGCCUGCCUCUCCCUCCUGCCACAGGCGCACAGCUGCCUCCUCGCCUUCGUUCCGAGUUGCUGGUCGUCGUCUCUUUCUCCCUCACUCUCCUGCUCCCUCGUCCUCUCUCUUGCCCUUUCACUCUCCUGCUCCCUCGUCCUCUCUCUCGCCCUUUCACUCUCCUGAUCCCCUCUGCGUCUCUCUUGCCCUCUGAGUCUCCUUCUCCCCUCGUUGUCUCUCUCACCCUCUGAGUCUCCUUCUCCCCUCGUUGUCUCUCUCGCCCUCUCACUCUCCUGCUACCCUCCUCGUCUCUCUCGCAGAACGACCUCAUCUUGCUCGCUGCCAUAGAUCAGAUCCUCAUCAGAUCUGUGCAUCUCUGCCUCUCCACCAUAGAUCUGUGAAGGCUUGAGGAGUGACACUAGAAGAGUGAAGGCUUUUUGUGCAGGCCGGUGAGGGAAGGAGAGGCGGUCCACUUCGCUGGUCGAGUCGUCAUCGUCACUUUCUGUUAUCAGGGAAGAGCGAAAAUCCCUUGGUAUGGUAGGUAAGAGUUGGAAUUGCAAAGGGGUUUGCGAAGGCACUGGCUUACUUGCAUGGUCAGGAAUUAUGUCCAUGGGGAUCUGAAGCCUACAAAUAUACUCUUGGGGGAGAUGAUGGAACCAUACAUAUCAGAUUUUGGAUUGGGGAGACUGGCAAACAUUGCAGGUGAGUCACCAGGUUUGCAAUCUAAUCGCGUACCAACUGAUAACAGGCAACAACCAACUGAUAGCAGGCAACAACAAGCAUGACCUCAGAGAUGGGAUAUUCUGUAUCAAGCACCUGAAGCACCAAAACUUCUAAAACCAUCGCAAAAGUGGGAUGUUUACUCGUAUGGGGUGAUUCGGUUAGAGUUGAUAACUGGUAGGUCAACAGAAGUUUUGAUGUCGACCUCAGAGAUGGACAUAGUGAGCUGGGUUCAGUUGUGUAUGGAUGAGAAGAAGCCUUUUUCAGAUGUUGUGGAGCCUGUUCUUCUGCGCCAAAUGCAAAUGGAAGAGGAAAUGAUUGGUGUUUUCAAGAUUGCAUUGUGUCAAUAUCAAUCCAGAAAGAAGGCCUUCGAUGAGGAACGUAGCUGAUUUGCUGGACAGACUGACAUGCACCGGCUAAGAAUGUGAAGCUCAACUAUUGUUUAUGGCAGCUGUUAAAUAUAUUGCCGAGAAAGAAGCUGCACAGGGGAUAUGUUAGAAUCAAGUGAAUCGGAGUUCUCAGUUGCAGUUCAUUCAAAAAGGUUGUGUUCCAUGCUGGAGCCUUUCAAAAGCUCCCUUUUUCCUAUCACAACUUGUGAAUUUGUUCCAUUUCAACAAGAUAAAAGGCAUAUGGCGUGCUUUCUUUCCCUGUGGUGCUUAAACCUGUUGUAACUUUGUUAUUUGAAUGUAGUAUGUGAAUUUUGCAGUGAUCCUAUCCAUAGUUUGUUUUAAGAUA